CUCCAAUCAAAUGCAUGACCCCUGCGACAGGGAGAAACACAGGACAAGUCCCGCAUCGACAGAGUGAGGAGAUGUGUCUUCCUCAACAGAAAGGAAGAGCUGGAUUCUUAGAACAGAAAUCUAAGCCAUUGGAGUGUUUUCAGAGGAAUUUAAAGUUAUGCUGCAAUGUAGAGAACAGGCUGGGACAUUGCUUGCAGGCAGCGACUGCUUCUGGUGGAUGGGGAGCGAGCGAUGAGCGUGACAGCAAAGACGGGGACCCCUGUCCCGUGCUUGGGGCACUGCUGUGCCCUCUGCCCCUCCUCACAGGGAGGCCCCGCCCCAGCGCCCUCACCACGUACAGGCAGGGGGCGCUCCGGGUGCAGAACAG
rnacentral:lncRNA from 1 species